GAAUGUAUUGUAUGACUGUGCUUUAACCUAAUAUUGGGUUGCCUACAUUCUUUAAUUACAGUGCAUUCAUCUAAUCUGAAUGACUGAUUCUGAGCUGGGUAUUAUGUUGUUUACUUUUCCAGAAGUUUACUCGAUGAUUGAUUUAUGAAGUGCAGUAAGUACGAUAUGCCAUUCUGCAGUUGUUCAUUAUUAUUUUAUGCAAUAUUUUUUUAAGUCUCAAGCAUUUUUCGGGAGUUAUGUUGGAUAUGCUUGAAGCACGUCAUACAUAUAUAUCUCAUGUAUUGGAAGUUUGUCGUCGUCUUCUGGCCGCGACCGUACCGGUACAGUACCGUAUGUCACCCGAGGAGGGGUACGGUGCACACCCUUACGUUACCCGAGGAGGGGUAUGUUUAGAUGUUGACGUGCAUUUUGGGAAUGGAUCUUGGUAGCUGCACACACUAUCUCAUCACCAUGUUGAUAGCUCAAUCGGUGUUAUAAAUGGUGUUUUUGGUGGUCUGUCGUUUGCUUGGUUCAUGUUGUGGCAGACACUGGUAGCGUCAUAACGGUUUCUAUAUAUGCUGGUUAUAUCUGAUUCUGUC